UACCAGGCACUUUACCUGUGCUGUGAUCAUGUAAUCCUGUCAAGCAAAACCCAGCAGGAAGAUAGAAGACAAUAGAGCCGUGAUUUUGACCCAGCCUCCCAGGACACAGAUGGGGUGAAGAAAUCAAAGGGGCAAACAGAAUUUGCAGCCCAAAAGUUUCGAAGGGGCAGUUGGGAGACAUCUUUAGGCUUUCUGCAACCAAGCCACUGUCUUCCAUAAAGCAAGCGACAGUUACUCAGUGGAGGAAUAAGCCUUCAGUUGCAUACCACUCUGUGCAUUGGAUGGGAGGAUUUUGAAACUUUUGGAAGUUCCAUACUUCGGCUUUAUUCUAUGAAUCCACCAGCGCUGUGCACCAAAGUUUCUCUGUGGAGGGAGAACAUAUUUUUGCAGAGCAAGUACAGAUAAGAGGUUGGGUGCCUGAAGCCUGGAUAAUAAUAGAAUGACAGCUGAUGAUUCAUCAGUGCUCUUCAGAGCCA
rnacentral:lncRNA from 1 species